AACGCGAAUGGCUGUAAAAUGUGGGCACAAUAUUUAAUUUCUCGCCUUUUUAAAGCUUAAUAGUGGAUAAUAGGGGGCAGUAUCAAGGGAUAAUUUGGGUCCCCACAGUACCAAAGCAUUUAGAAACCUCUGUUUAAUUUAAGGAAUGAGAUAAAUUACUGCUUUUCUAGACUUCCUAGCAUGGGCUGUUGUGCUGGAGAGAACGAGAGCUACGAAGAGACUACAAUGCCUCUGACUUUUUCAUAGGACAGUUGGCCGAGGAAGACAAACAUAAAGAUGAAGUGCUUAAUUCAAGGUCACACAAUGUCGGGGAUGGACCUCCAGAUUUCCUUACUGACCUGCAUUAUCUUGUGGAUACCUGAGUGAAUUCCACACCACCCAUUUUAUAGAUGAAACCACUGAGACAUGGAGCAACUGACUGAGUAGUCACUGCCCCACCCCUGCCUGGAGCCUCACACAUGACUCGUCUCCUCUCAGUGACCACAGGUGAGACGUGGUCUUGUAACACAGUGGUUAAGAAUGUGACUUUGGAGCCAGCCUGCUAGGGGCUGAAUUCUGACUCAGCCAUUUACUAACUGUGUGACCUUAGGCUGGAGUGCAAUGGCAUGAUCUCGGCUCACCACAAUCUCUGCUUCCUGGGUUCAAGCGAUUCUCCUGCCUCAGCCUCCCAAGUACCUGGGACUACAGGCACUCGCCAC
rnacentral:antisense_RNA from 1 species